GUGGGCAUAGCUCAGUUGGUAGAGCGCCAGGUUGUGGCCCUGGAGGCCACGGGUUCAACCCCCGUUGCUCACC
rnacentral:tRNA from 1 species